UGGGGAAUUUUGCACAAUGGGGGAAACCCUGAUGCAGCGACGCCGCGUGAUUUAGAAGGCCUUCGGGUUGUAAAAAUCUUUUUUACGGGAUGAAAAUGACAGUACCGUAAGAAUAAGGUCCGGCUAAAUACGUGCCAGCAGCCGCGGUAAUACGUAUGGACCGAGCGUUGUCCGGAAUCAUUGGGCGUAAAGGGUACGUAGGCGGCCUAGUAAGUUAGAAGUGAAAUAAUAUAGCUCAACUAUAUAAAGCUUUUAAAACUGCUAGGCUUGAGAGAUGGAAGGGAAAGUGGAAUCCCUAGUGUAGCGGUGAAAUGCGCAGAUAUUAGGAAGAAUACCGGUGGCGAAGGCGACUUUCUGGUCAUCAUCUGACGCUGAGGUACGAAAGCGUGGGUAGCAAACAGG
rnacentral:rRNA from 1 species